GUGGGGAAUAUUGGACAAUGGGCGAAAGCCUGAUCCAGCCAUGCCGCGUGUGUGAAGAAGGUCUUCGGAUUGUAAAGCACUUUAAGUUGGGAGGAAGGGCAGUAAGUUAAUACCUUGCUGUUUUGACGUUACCGACAGAAUAAGCACCGGCUAACUUCGUGCCAGCAGCCGCGGUAAUACGAAGGGUGCAAGAGUUAAGCGGAAUUACUGGGCGUAAAGCGCGCGUAGGUGUUUUUGUAAGUUGGAGGUGAAAUCCCCGGGCUCAACCUGGGAACUGCCUCCAAAACUGCAUGACUAGAGUACGGUAGAGGGUAGUGGAAUUUCCUGUGUAGCGGUGAAAUGCGUAGAUAUAGGAAGGAACACCAGUGGCGAAGGCGACUACCUGGACUGAUACUGACACUGAGGUGCGAAAGCGUGGGGAGCAAACAGGAUUAGAAACCCGUGUAGUCC
rnacentral:rRNA from 1 species